rnacentral:rRNA from 1 species
CCUACGGGGAGCAGCAGUAGGGAAUCUUCCACAAUGGGCGCAAGCCUGAUGGAGCAACACCGCGUGAGUGAAGAAGGGUUUCGGCUCGUAAAGCUCUGUUGUUGGAGAAUAACGUGCGUGAGAGUAACUGUUCACGCAGUGACGGUAUCCAACCAGAAAGUCACGGCUAACUACGUGCCAGCAGCCGCGGUAAGACGUAGGUGGCAAUCGUUAUCCGGAUUUAUUGGGCGUAAAGCGAGCGCAGGCGGUUGCUUAGGUCUGAUGUGAAAGCCUUCGGCUUAACCGAAGAAGUGCAUCGGAAACCGGGCAACUUGAGUGCAGAAGAGGACAGUGGAACUCCAUGUGUAGCGGUGGAAUGCGUAGAUAUAUGGAAGAACACCAGUGGCGAAGGCGGCUGUCUGGUCUGCAACUGACGCUGAGGCUCGAAAGCAUGGGUAGCGAACAGGAUUAGAUACCCUAGUAGUC